UACAGAGGGUGCAAGCGUUGUUCGGAAUUAUUGGGCGUAAAGCGCGUGUAGGCGGCCUUGCAAGUCGGGUGUGAAAGCCCUCAGCUCAACUGAGGAAGCGCGCCCGAAACUGCAGAGCUUGAGUACCGGAGAGGAUGGCGGAAUUCCCCAAGUAGAGGUGAAAUUCGUAGAUAUGGGGAGGAACACCGGUGGCGAAGGCGGCGACCUGGGACAAUACUGACGCUGAGGUGCGAAAGCGUGGGGAGCAAACAGG
rnacentral:rRNA from 1 species